rnacentral:lncRNA from 1 species
UUGAGCAAAUCCAAAGAAUGAGAUAUUGGGCAAAUGCCAAGCACCAAAAAUUGCAUGCCUACAUUAUUGUAUACAACAAAAACGAUUUAGAUAUUAGACAAGAACAACACAAAAAUAACUCCGGAUGUUUUAUAGGGACACAUGAACAUAAUAGCAAGUCGAGUUAAUCGAUUACAUGUGAGUUAAAAUCGUUGAACACUAGUUCAAUCUUAAGAACAAUAUAGCAAGAUGACCUAAUCAUCUAUUACAUGACUUUUUCCCACAUAGACAAACUGCAUAAACAUUAAAACAGGCUGCGUUCAAACCAUUGAACACAAGUUCAAUCUUCACGACACUUUCCCUUUCCCUUAUUGUCCGACUUCAUGUUUUCCUUUCGAAUAGUAAGAUUGAAUAAUAUCUCCACGUCAUCCUCUUCAAUCUUUAGAUCCGCAACGGUUUGUAAAAUUUGAGAU